rnacentral:rRNA from 1 species
GUACUCCCCGAAAUGCUUUUACGAGCAGCGUGGAGGUUAAGUCUAACGGAGGUAGAGCUACCAAUAGGACUAGGGGGAGUCAAAUCCUACCAAAUCCUGAUGAACUCCGAAUGCCGUUAGAUAUACUCCGCAGUGAGGGCAUGGGUGCUAAGGUCCUUGUCCGAGAGGGAAAGAACCCAGAUCACCGGCUAAGGUCCCAAAGUAUAUGCUAAGUUGAUAUAACGCGGUGGAACUGCAUUGACAGCCAGGAUGUUGGCUUGGAAGCAGCCAUUCAUUUAAAGAGUGCGUAACAGCUCACUGGUCGAGCGACAGGGCAUCGA